AUUGAACGCUGGCGGCAUGCCUUACACAUGCAAGUCGAACGGCAGCACGGGAGCAAUCCUGGUGGCGAGUGGCGAACGGGUGAGUAAUAUAUCGGAACGUGCCCGGUCGUGGGGGAUAACGUAGCGAAAGCUACGCUAAUACCGCAUACGAUCUACGGAUGAAAGCGGGGGACUCGCAAGAGCCUCGCGCGAUUGGAGCGGCCGAUAUCAGAUUAGGUAGUUGGUGGGGUAAAGGCUCACCAAGCCAACGAUCUGUAGCUGGUCUGAGAGGACGACCAGCCACACUGGAACUGAGACACGGUCCAGACUCCUACGGGAGGCAGCAGUGGGGAAUUUUGGACAAUGGGCGCAAGCCUGAUCCAGCAAUGCCGCGUGCAGGAUGAAGGCCUCGGUUGUAAC
rnacentral:rRNA from 1 species